UUGGAUAUGCCUGGACAUGUGUGUGUGU
rnacentral:piRNA from 1 species